UCCGGGAUCGUCUAAUGGUAGGACGCCAGGCUCUGAACCUGGUAAUCUAGGUCCGAGUCCUAGUCCCGGAGCCA
rnacentral:tRNA from 1 species